AGAGAGACCACCAGGGUGUAUUGAUUUUUUUUAAAAACGUCAUGGAAAGAAAAUGCAAUUUGAAUUUUCUCCCUUUCUCCCACUAGUGGAAAUUAAAAAAAAAAAAAAAAGGAGGAUUGCUAAGACAAACAAACAAAGCCCUGUUCUAAAUACCAGCUUCAUAUAAUACAUUCCACAAGGUACAGCUCCCAAAGCAGUCAAUUGUCUGGCAAUAAAGCGUGAUGGGGCAUGUAACAAUUAUGUAACAGCUGCAGAGACAUCACGGUUAUAAUUUAGUACCUUCUACCACCCUAGGAUAUAAUAAAAGUAAGAUUUAAAUAUAUAUCAAAAAGCUGACAGCACCAGAGCAGGCCUUCUUCAGCAUCAUGACACUGAUCAGCCUUGAAAGGAAAUGAGAUGCUGAAGAGAGGGGACAGGAGGAGUAACAGGAGGAGAAAGAAGAGAAGGAAAAGGAAGAGGAGGAAAGAGAAGAGGAAGCAGCAGAGAGGAAAGGGGAGAAGAAGAGGAGGAAGAAAAAGAGGAGGGGAAGGAGAAAAGGAAAAAGAAAACUCAUUUGCUCUCCUGCAGGCAUGACGCAACAGCUAACACCAGCCAGCCUGCUCUGGACUGAAUUCAGGCUGGGAACGUGGGGGUUUCCUGGGCCUGCAGCCCGCGGGGCACGUUCGACCCACAUUCUGCUGUGUGUGUGUGCCGUGCGACACGUCACCCUCCCAUCUCUGCACAUGCCCUUGAAUAUUUCUGUGCUUCUGAUUCAUCUGGUCCACAGUUUACACCUUGAGCCUCUCAUCUUGUGUCCAGCGAGACGCGUACCGUCCUCGCAUCAGAGCAGGGGCUUCUGGCUCCUGUGCCCCCGGCCCCGCGGCCUCUCCGCCCCUCCCCGCCGCGU
rnacentral:lncRNA from 1 species